rnacentral:lncRNA from 1 species
CCUGAGUUAAUGGACAACUGAAAUGACAUAAUUCAAUAAGCUUGCAAGCAUAAUUGAUAAUGCCUAGUGGUAAAAAAUGACACCUUAGUUUAAUGGAUAGGAAUGUGUAAAUGGUUUUAAUUGGGCUUAAUGGGGUUGUGUAGCUCACGCUGAAGGUCUAAGUCUCAGGGAAGACGAAUACCGAAAAUUACAUUUACUGACGUGGGGGUCUUUAUGGUCGUGUGCAUAGUUCAUACUUGAUAUGUUUAUAUCUUAGAUUGGUAUGGGGUCAUGGAUUCCCUGACCUUCUUUGGAUUUCCUGGUUCUUGCGGCUACACGCAUUGGGGCCCUUCCGAUGGGAGGAGUCGGACCUGUUAGCCUAUGGGUGCCUUUAGGUUGGUUGGAGAUACACACUCCAUGAUAAUGUGUUAAAUCUCAUGCUAAGUCCUAUUCCCUAUCUCAACAUUUUAUAUAUCUGUAUAUAUGCAUGUAUGUGAACAUAUACAUUGAGUAUGGACUUGAUUUUUAAAUGACAUUACUUUAUCCCUAUCCCGAGUUACAUGCUAGCGAUCACCUCGCUAACCAUCCUAGGACUCUACAUUGUUUUAUAAUGUAGGGUCCGAGGAUACCAGUUUUGCCCAUGUGCAACGUUAGGUGACUGGGUUAGUCAGUUGGUUCGCGGUGAAUUGGUGAACUUACAUCCUCUGAAAAACUUAGCCAUUCCAUCGAUUUAUUUCCAUAUUAUAGAAUUAAAGAUUUAACAUUAACAUUAUCAAUGUAAUUGUCACUAUCAUGGUCGGGGGAAUGUCUCGAUCUAGUUUGAUAUUCGGAUUGUUUUAGAGGCUUUUGUGAAAACCUAUGGAAUGGGAUAUUUGUUUGGAAUCUUAGAAUCUUUGUCUUGGUGUAUUUAUCCUUUAUAUAUUUGUUUGGAUUGCUUUCACUAUUAUACUGUAUUGUGUUCAGAUUGGCUAGGCUCAGUGGGUGGCUUUUUGUCCUCGGUGGACUUGAGAUACCCGUCACGACUAGGCCCUGAUUUGGGUCGUGACAGUAAGGGUUGUUAAAACUCAAAUGAUUUUUCAUAGAGUUCAAAUGCUUUACAGACAUCACAAAUUAUUUUUAAUUGCCUUGAUAGAUCCUUUCGAAGACAUAAGGAAAAUUCAAGAUACAAAAGAAGGUUGGGGAUGCAGUAUGUGAAUUAUAAUCAAAAUGGUCAGAUAUAGUUUUUUGUGCAAGAGCAUAUUCAAGUGGGAGUGAUUAUCGAUUUUGAGCAACAACUUUCAUUACACCUCACAGUGGAAUAUGAUAAGUAGACGAUGACUACAGUGGUGUAUGCCAAAUAUUAUACUUUAGAGAGUUUAGUCUGUGCGAUGAUUUGUAUGCCAUUGGGUACAAUCUUUCCUUUCCUUGGUUGUAGGGGCAGAGUUGAAUGUCAUUUUAUAUGAUGAAGAAAAAUUGGUGGGCUACCUGUAUAUCCUUACUCAUUUGAGGACUUCAGCUUCUGUAUAAAUUAUUGUGAGUUAUUUGAGAUUAGCGUCACCGGGAACCCUUUUACCUGGUUGAAUGGUAGAGCUGAUGAAGAAUAUAUUUUCAAAACGCUAGACAGAAUCAUGAAUUAGGCAGUAUAGGACAUAUUUGGGAAUAUAAAAUGUAAUAUUUGACUAUAACUGAGUCUGAUCAUGCCCCUUUAAUGCUCAAGGAAAAAUCCAGUAAUUCUCAAAACCUCUUAGGUUUUUAAAGUUCUGAAUAGAAAAAGAUGAUUUUAAAACGUGGUUAGGCAUAUUCGGAGGGCAGAUAAAUAUGGGGAUUGCUUCAAAAGAUUGAAAUACAAGCAGAAGAGAGCUAAAUAUGCACUGUCUAAGUGGAGUAGAGACAUGUUUGGGGAUCUAUUUAAACAACUAAGCAUCAGGGAAGAGAUUGUGAAGUUAAAGGAGGGCCUAUUUGAUGAACAACCAAAUACAACGAAUAUGGCUAUUUUAUAACAUAUACAAGUUGAACUAAAGUAGUAUCUCCACUGCAAGGAGGAAUUUUUCAUACAAAUGACUAGUAUCCAGUGGUUCACUAAAAGGGGAUAAAAAUAUAAAUUUUUUCCAUUGUCUGGUGAAAGAAGAAGAAAGAAAUUACAAUUGAAGAGAAGUUUAAAGCAUGAUGGUACUUGGGCUGAAGGAGAUGAGCAGAUUGCAAAUGAAGCAAUGAACUUUUUCCAAAACCGAUUCUCAGGAGAGCUCUUUACUGACGAAUAUUGUUAUAACAUAUCCCAUCAUUAAUUAUCAAAAAAGAUAAUAUUAUGCUCAUGUAACGCCCCAAAAAUGGGUCCCGAGCUCAAGACUACGAGUAGCCUUAAGCUAGCCUUGUUUGCUUUCUACUAAGUUUGAAUCUCAUAAUAAGGUAAUAUAGAUAUCAAAAUCAUACUAAAAGCGGAAAUUAUCUGAAUGUAAUAUCCGAAAAUAAUGUCUGGAACCUUAAUACUGAAUAAUCUGAAUUAAAACUAGCAGUCUGACAAUCCUCUACUACUCCUAAAUAGAGAGCCACUGGGAUACACCCCCAGUUGACUCGAACUGUCUAAAAAGAAUACUGAAUCAUCUAAGCUGAAAAUCUGAAUAACUAAGUCCCUGAACUAUGAUGACUCACCAACUGUCGGGCUGUAGAUGGAGAUGCUCGAAAUUACUCAUGUUGUUGGAACUGAGCACCUGCACCUACAUUAUGAGAUAAUGUAACACAUAGACGUAUAUGUGGAUCAGUACUUUUAGGAUGUACUGAGUAUAUGACUGCAAGCAUAAUUGAUAAUGCCUAGUGGUAAAAAAAUGACACCUUAGUUUAAUGGAUGGGAAUGUGUAAAUGAUUUUAAUUGAGCUUAAUGGGGUUGUGUAGCUCACGCUGAAGGUCUAAGUCUCAGGGAAGACGAAUACCGAAAAUUACAUUUACUGACGUGGGGGUCUUUAUGGUCGUGUGCAUAGUUCACACUUGAUAUGUUUAUAUCUUAGAUUGGUAUGGGGUCAUGGAUUCCCUGACCUUCUUUGGAUUUCCUGGUUCUUGCGGCUACACGCAUUAGUGCCCUUCCGAUGGGAGGAGCCGGACCUGUUAUCCUGUGGGUGUCUUUAGUUUGGUUGGAGAUACACACUCCACGAUAAUGUGUUAAAUCUCAUGCUAAGCCCUAUUCCCUAUCCCAACAUUUUAUAUAUCUGUAUAUAUGCAUGUAUGUGAACAUGUACAUUGAGUAUGGACUUGAUUUUUAAAUAACAUUACUUUAUUCCUAUCCCGAGUUACAUGCUAGAGAUCUCCUCGCUAACCAUCCUAAGAUGCUAUAUUGUUUUAUAAUGUAUGGUCC